CCUACGGGUGGCUGCAGUGGGGAAUAUUGCACAAUGGGCGAAAGCCUGAUGCAGCAACGCCGCGUGAGUGAUGAAGGCCUUCGGGUCGUAAAGCUCUUUGAUCAGGGAUGAUAAUGACAGUACCUGAAAAACAAGCCACGGCUAACUACGUGCCAGCAGCCGCGGUAAUACGUAGGUGGCGAGCGUUGUCCGGAAUUACUGGGCGUAAAGGAUGCGUAGGUGGAUAUUUAAGUGGGAUGUGAAAUCCCCGGGCUCAACCCGGGAACUGCAUUCCAAACUGGGUAUCUAGAGUGCAGGAGAGGAAAGCGGAAUUCCUAGUGUAGCGGUGAAAUGCGUAGAUAUUAGGAGGAACACCAGUGGCGAAGGCGGCUUUCUGGACUGUAACUGACACUGAGGCAUGAAAGCGUGGGUAGCAAACAGGAUUAGAUACCCCGGUAGUC
rnacentral:rRNA from 1 species